GACGGAGGGCGCGAGCGUUGUUCGGAAUCACUGGGCGUAAAGCGCGCGCAGGCGGGAAGGUAAGUCGGGGGUGAAAGACCGGGGCUCAACCCCGGCGCGGCCUCCGGGACUGCCUUCCUAGGGACCGGUAGGGGCGGGUGGAAUUCCCGGUGUAGCGGUGGAAUGCGUAGAGAUCGGGAAGAACACCGGUGGCGAAGGCGGCCCGCUGGGCCGGAUCCGACGCUGAGGCGCGAAAGCGUGGGGAGCAAACAGGAUUAGAAACCCCCGUAGUCC
rnacentral:rRNA from 1 species